rnacentral:lncRNA from 1 species
CUCAGCAUUUGUCAGGCUACACUUUAACCCACUUCCUUCUAACUGAAAGUCACGUAGCGCUAGUGACUAUCUGCACCCCUACUGUUCCUAUGGACGGAAUCUCUGACUUCAGAAUCAUGAGGCUUUUGUUUAAGAAUUCCUUAAGACGUUUCAGAUCCUUAAUUCCAGGCCAACCAGUUUGAAGAGCCCCACAGAGGAAGUGAACCAGCAUGAGAAUACAGCAUCUUCAACCCCACCCCAUGACUCCACCCUGCUUCACCCUGCACUUCUCCACCGGCUUUUCCCCGGCUCUGCCCCCGCCUGCUGAGGAAUCUCGGUCAACACAAGAGAGGACGGCGACUCCCUUGUACAGCAAGUCCUGAAUAAAUCGUCUUUUGUUC